rnacentral:rRNA from 2 species
CCCUGGCUCAGAUUGAACGCUGGCGGCAGGCCUAACACAUGCAAGUCGAGCGGAUGACAGGAGCUUGCUCCUGAAUUCAGCGGCGGACGGGUGAGUAAUGCCUAGGAAUCUGCCUGGUAGUGGGGGACAACGUUUCGAAAGGAACGCUAAUACCGCAUACGUCCUACGGGAGAAAGCAGGGGACCUUCGGGCCUUGCGCUAUCAGAUGAGCCUAGGUCGGAUUAGCUAGUUGGUGAGGUAAUGGCUCACCAAGGCGACGAUCCGUAACUGGUCUGAGAGGAUGAUCAGUCACACUGGAACUGAGACACGGUCCAGACUCCUACGGGAGGCAGCAGUGGGGAAUAUUGGACAAUGGGCGAAAGCCUGAUCCAGCCAUGCCGCGUGUGUGAAGAAGGUCUUCGGAUUGUAAAGCACUUUAAGUUGGGAGGAAGGGCAUUAACCUAAUACGUUAGUGUUUUGACGUUACCGACAGAAUAAGCACCGGCUAA